rnacentral:rRNA from 1 species
GUUUACAUGGAUAACUGUGGUWAUUCUAGAGCUAAUACAUGCACCCAGUCCGUUCCCUCGUGGAGCGGAUGCAGUUAUUUGCCCAAAACCAAUCCGGCCUUCGGGUCGGUCAAUUGGUGACUCUGAAUAACCGAAGCGGAGCGCAUGGUCUCGUACCGGCGCCAGAUCUUUCAAGUGUCUGACUUAUCAGCUUGUUGUUAGGUUAUGUUCCUAACAAGGCAUCAACGGGUAACGGAGUGUCAGGGCCCGACACCGGAGAGGGAGCCUGAGAAACGGCUACCACAUCCAAGGAAGGCAGCAGGCGCGCAAAUUACCCACUCCCGGCACGGGGAGGUAGUGACGAAAAAUAACGAUGCGAGAGCUUUAUGCUCCUCGUAAUCGGAAUGGGUACACUUUAAAUCCUUUAACGAGGAUCUAUUGGAGGGCAAGUCUGGUGCCAGCAGCCGCGGUAAUUCCAGCUCCAAUAGCGUAUAUUAAAGUUGCUGCGGUUAAAAAGCUCGUAGUUGGAUCUGGGUAGUCGAUGGACGGUGCGCUUUACGGCGUCUACUGUUCGUUCGGCACCACAUGCCGGCCAUGUCUUGCAUGCUCUUCACUGAGUGUGCUUGGCGACCGGAACGUUUACUUUGAAAAAAUUAGAGUGCUCAAAGCAGGCGUUAAGCCUUGCAUAAUGGUGCAUGGAAUAAUAGAAUAGGACCUCGGUUCUAUUUUGUUGGUUUUCGGAGCUCGAGGUAAUGAUUAAUAGGAACAGACGGGGGCAUUCGUAUUGCGGCGUUAGAGGUGAAAUUCUUGGAUCGUCGCAAGACGCAC